GCUGUGCUCGCUUCAGCAGCACAGAGUUAAAUUGGAACAGAACAGAGACUACCACGGCCCCUAUGCAAGGGUGACACACACAUUCACGGAGUGCAUUGUACUUUU